GUUUUUUUCAUUUUGCUUCUCUCUUUUGGAGCCUAAAAUUAAAGAUGAAAGGCAUUCCAGAUAGCUAUUUCAAUUUCUUGUAUUGUCUUAAAUCAUUGACCGUUGAUGAUCAAUAAAUAUUCCAAGGAAACAAACAACUACAUUGUUCAAGCUCCAAACUCAAGUGAUUGAGAUUUCUAAUCUGUGUGUACUCCUUUCAAAUGUUGGAUUACCCUACAAUAUGGUUCCUUGAUUUGACGUGCCUUUAUAAUAAAGGCGUCCUGGGCGCUCGCCUUUUACAACAUGGCCUUUAUUUGGUUCCUUAAGUUCAUAUUGGCGUUUUUCAGAAGCGGAUCUCUCAAAAGAGCUAGGAUGCAAGCCAACAUUGAACAAGAAGCAUCUGCAGGCGAUUACUUUCCAUCCCUUUGUUCAUUGCAAAUUGAUGGAUGGUCUAAACUCAACUGUCUUCCAGAUCAAAUUCAAUACAUCUCUUCCUCGAAAGAUUUGUGUAUAUUGGAUUUUCCUUCUCUGGAGGUUUUGCCUGAGUGGUUGGGUAACUUGACUUCUCUUAGGGAGUUGAGGAUAUGUGGGUGUGAAAAUUUAAAUUGUAUGCCUUCUCUGGAUAAGAUGCUAUGCCUCACCUCACUACAACAACUUAAAAUCAGAAAUUGUUCCCUCCUGGAGGCUAGAUGUAAACAAGGAGGAGAAGAGUCCAACAAGCUAUUCCACAUUCCCAAGGUUGUUAUAGUUGAGGAAUGACAUCAAAAGUCCCAUAUGAGGAAUAAUUAGCCACCCUACAGUUUUGCCGAGAGUGUAGCAUAGCACUUGAAACCAGGGAAAUGAUUUAUCUGAAGAACUUCUUGGAAGGAGAGAUAAAUCCAAGGAAUAGGAAAGCUGAGUAUGAAAGAGGUUAGCAAGAGAGACUGAGAAGAAGAGGAAUAAAAGAGCAGAAAAAAGAUAAAUAUGUGUGGUAUGAACGCUAUUCAGCGGAGAAGGUUGAUCCCCCGAUCUUUGCCAGAACCAUGCGAGAGAGAUUAGAUAUAGAUUCAGAUGGUGAGAAGAUAGAAGGUAUAGAUGCAAAUGGAUCAGAUCAAAGAAGGCAUGGAGGAGGAUGAAGAGAAAAGCAAAGACAGCGAGGAUGCAUCCGACGGGUAUGGACCUGCUGCUUCCAGUUGUAGUGAAGACUUUGGUGGCACCGAGGAGGAAAGCUAUGGUGGCAAGGAAAAGGAGAACUCUGAAUAGUCAUCUCCAAAGAAUCAAAAAGACAAGAAUCUUUAGGCCUGGUGGUAAGCUUAAAGAAAGUUUUUUUUUUUUUAUCAAAAUGUCUUCUGAUUUUCGCUAUUAGUCUUUUUUGGUCUGCUGCUGAAUUUAGUAAUCUUCUUACUUCUAUGGUUUAUGCGAACAGUGUUAAGUUUGCUUCUGGGGUUUAUCUGAUGGUAAAUGUUGAUAGGGUUGGUUUUUUCUUAGAUAGUGAAAAAGAGAUUUGAAGUGGUAUAUAUAAAUGUUAAUGGUGGUUGUUUUGAACUCGGUUUGUUUUCUG